rnacentral:lncRNA from 1 species
AUUUUUGGGUGUGGCUAUGUUUAAGUUCCUAAAAUCUAUGCACACCCUUAAUUUACCAUUCUUUUUUAGCACUGGCACGAUAUUGGACAACCACUCUAUAUAUCUGGCUGUUCUAAUAAAGUCUGCUUUUAAUAAUCGCUCUGUUUCUUUCUUAAUCUCAGGAAGUACAUUAGGAGCAAAACGUUUAGGAUGUUGUUUAUGAGGUUUAAAAUUUGGCUUGAUUGGCAAUCUAUGUUCCACCAAAUCUCUAUCUAAACCAGGCAUAUGUUCAUAUUCCCAAGGAAAACAAUCCUUAUAUUCCUUUAAUAAAGCGAUUAAUUUAUUACUAACCUCUUGAUCGAGCAUCUAGCUGACGAAUAUUGGGCGAUCUUUCCCUUCAUUGCCAAUAUUCACUUUAAUCAGAGGGUCUUGUGUUUGAGCGUAUCCAGGCUUGGUAAUCCUCAUUACUUCAUCGUCCAUUUUCCUUAUAGGCACUUCUUCUUCUAAACAAUCCACCUUGUUGACUUCUCGGCCAAUACUUUGUUCCAACUCGAACACUGUCAAUUUGCCUUCUAAUGCUUUCAAGGCUGCUUCUUUUUUCGUCUUGUCUUUAUAUUCUAUAUUGAAAGCCAUUAAUUUGGCUUUGAAGGCCUGAACAUCGGCCAUUUGCCUUUGUUGUUUACAACUCAUUUAAAACUCCUUGAUUACUUUUUUGCCAAUUACUGGCUCUUCCAGGGCCACUAUGUUUGGCCUCAUUUAACUGAACAUUUCAGUGAGUGCAUCUACUGAAAACGGCUCUUUGCUCUGUGCAACAAUUUGAGUUUCUUCUCCAUCUUGGACCACUCUAACAGGUCCGUAAUUUCCUUCGUAUAUGAACCUUUCCACUGAGUUUGCUUCUGCGACAAAAGGUCUAUAAUUUGCCUGCACCACUUCUGCUUCAACCUUGUCAUUCCAGAAAACCAGGCAUUGAUGGAGCGAUGAAGGUAUGCAGCGACUUCCGUGUAUCCAAUCCCUUCCUAAUAACACAUUGUAACUCAUUGAACCAUCUAUUACGAAGAAGACUGUGGUCCUAGUAGUUGUCCCUACAGUUAUGUCCAAUGGCAUAACCCCUUUGGCUGAAGUUGCUCCUCCAUUGAAACUUGUAAGGAUGACUUCUGUUGGAAUCACAUCACUUUCUGUCUUUGCAAAUUUCCUCAUCAUUCUAGAUGGAAUGGUGUUUAUAGCUGCUCCAUUAUCGAUAAGUACUUUUACCACAGGUAUACCGUUAACUAAAGUCUUAAUGUACAAUGGUCUCAAGUGUUUAGUUAACUUUAUGGCUGAUCUCUUAAAAAUAACCUUUUCGGCAACAUCUAUUUCCACUUCCUGCUUGUUCUAUGUUGAAUUAUCCUUUUGUGAUAAGUCAACGUGUAGUAUGUUGCACUGAGCUUCCGCUUCCUGAAUUUCCUUUUUAUUGUUUCCUAAUGCUUUUUUUUCGGUUACCCAACCUGUGGGAGGAGCCAUUAUUCUUAGAGGCGAUCCAUACUUUUCAAAGCGAGGUACUCUUUUUUUCCUCUUGGGCGUCUCGUACAACACGUAAUAAUCAAAAGAACGCCCAGAUGGUUCCCCCAACCAGUCCACUUCACGAACUCCCUCUCGAUGUAGUUGCUUCAACAGGGUAUUGUGCGAUACUCCUCUCUUUCUUCUUUCUGCUUCCAGAUCAAUUUCCUCUUCGAUGUCCGUCAUACCAUCAUCCUCUUCACCAUUGUAGGCUCCUCUAGAAGUUUGGCAUUCUUCACAUUUUAGCACACAUGCUUCUUCCUCGUUAUCCUCCCUCUCUUCUUCUUCUUUUUCUUUGUUCUUGAACUCAUUGGCUAGUAAAUAGUUAUUAGCCAUGACAAGAGGUAACGUACCGAACUGAAUAGCAAGGGAUUGAUCUGGAUCUUCUCCAUCCCUUCUACUUCGCUCAAACUUUGAUCUGCCAGAAGAACUCUCUGGCAAUUCUUCCAUCGAUUCACCUGUACCAGUCCCCUCACUGUCUUCGAGAACAUUUUGAUUGGCCACCUCGAGUAGUUUAGGCGCCUUAGGACGUGGCACUCCCUAUUGUUGCCUCAUCAUCCGUCCAUAAUUCCGUUGAAAAUGCCUUUGUUGGGUUCUAGUCAUCUCGUUGAAGGGUAUCACCCUUCCUGCAUUAUAUUGAAACGAAUGCCAUACAUUUGGUUGGCGAGGUUGCGACCUGAAUGUUCUUCCAUUAUUUAUUGACCUGAACUACCUCUUAAAAGGCGGUCCUCUAUAGAAUGAUAUACCUCGCCCUCUACCAGGCUGAGCGUUUGAGAAAAAACUAGGGCGAUGGUGAUGCUGCCACAUCCCUGGUUUCUCUUUAUUUGCACUCAUUUCUUUUUAACAUCUUGCACACAGGACUUCUUCAUCCUUUUUAGGCUCCUCCCCUUUGAUACGUUCAAAGACAUUGGGGUGUGGCCCAGGGUCCUCUUCUCCGUUAUCUAUAACCUACUUGAAUUUUAGCAACUUGUUUUUUAAACCAGUCGUCAUCAUGUUCACCCCCAAGUGGUUGUGGAAAAUGGUUUUCAUCCACUGUCAUCUUCUUCUUAUCCUCGAACAUAAUUCGUCCUGAUUCAAUGGCAUCCUAUAACACAUGGCGAAAAACGAAACAGUUGUUAGUCAAAUGUGACCAUGCAUUAUGCCACUUACAAUAUUUUUUACCCUUGAUUUGUUCAGGGCUUGGCAAGUUAUGUUUAUCGCUCAACUUUAUCUGGUUAUCCUUAUAUAGUUUAUCAAAUAUAAGGUCAGCUUUGGUUACAUCGAACGAGAACGUUCUAGCCUUUUUGCUUUCAUCUUUUAUAGGCUUAUCCUUGCCCGACGAUCUAGGCUUAGCCAUUACAGGACAAGUAUAUGCGUCUCCUUUGAUAAAUUCGCCCAAACACAUUUCGGUUUGAUCGUAAUACUCGUCAUUAAUGGUAUGAACACCAAAAUUUGGGUCUCUAUAAUAAGUUCCCUUGCUAGAAUUUUUCAUUUGCUCUUCUUCUCUUAUUAAUCGUUCAUACUUAAUCACGUUUGCGUUCAAUUGGAAAAGAUCAGAAAAUUCUCUGUCUUGAAAUUUCUUUUUCAAAUCAAAGUUCAGACAACUUUGAGCGAUUUUGACAAACUCAUUUUCGGGCAAAGGUACAAAAUAUUUACUUCUUGCUGUCUGAAACCUUUGAAGGAAACCUUUUGCCCAUUCGUUUGACACUUGACGUAGAUUCGUCAAAUCGGCCAAAGUAACUUCAGACUCAGUCUUAUAAAGCUGAGCAUGGAACAAUUGCUCCAAUUGUUGUCAUGUUUGAACAGAGUUUGCUGGCAAAUUGAUGAACCAAGAGAAAGCUACUCUUGUUAAUGAACUAGGGAACAACCUCAUUUUAUGGUAGUCGAUUACUUCACCACUUUGCAGUGUGAAUCGCCUUAUGUGUUCUAGAGUAGACACCUCUCCUAAAUCGAUAAAUAGUGAGAAUUCUGACACUUUAUACCCUCUAGGCCAUGGAUAUGCUUGGUCCACCCAAUCAGGGUAUGGCUUUGUGUACGUCGGCCUAAUGACAGAACGUGCCCCAAAAACCAUUUGAUCCUGUACUAUUUGCAUAAUUUGAUUUCUCAACAUGACGUUGAGGUCAUAUGGAAUUCCUAUAGGUUGGUUGGUCGAUUGAUUUGCCUGAGGCCUGAUGUUUGGUCCUUGGUUGACAACAAAGUUGCCAUGAUUUGGGUCAUUGUUACCAUUAGCCUGAAUAUUUAUUCCAUCACUAUUCUGAUUUGGCAUUACACCAUCCCCCUGUUUGAAGUAGGUGGACCAAAAUGUGGUUCUAUCCCCUGAUUUGGACUUAGGACUGGGGAAUUAUGUCCCACGAUUGUCCUAGUUUGAAAGUGAUUUGCAAUAGGCACAACUGGCUGACAAAUUUGGCCUACUAACUUAUUCAUUAUUUCAUUUAAUGUAUUCAGUUGUUUGGCCAUGUUGUCAUAAUGUGCAUUCCCAUUUUGGGUAAAUCUUUCCAUAUUAUGAACAUUUCGUAGAUUUACCCGUUCAAUGACAUCCUGUGUGAGUUCUUCAAGCAAUGCACGCAUGGUUCGAGAACUCAACUCUGUCAUUGGUUCGUAACGACUGUAACUACUCUGACUCUGUCCCUCUGUUCGUAGAGAGCUUUGUCGCUUCUCAUAUCGCUCGAUCACAGACUGGACUCCUCCCUGACUUGCUGCUUCCUUAUCAGAUUUGUGAGGUAUAUUGUUUCACCUUUUGUAUCUUCAAUACCAAACACCAAGGUCCCACUGGGCGUGCCAAAUUAUUUCGCGCGAGUAGUCGCUAACAAUUAAAAAAGGGAUCAGACGAUUGUGUAAGGAACAAACCUCUUGAAACGAAAUCUCAAAAAGGGGUGUUUUAUUGACGAUGAUUUAUGAUUGGAAAUAAACAGAAUGCCUCCAAGAGGCGCAAGCACAUGAGUACUAAAAGAAAUGUUUAAGUUUAAACUUAGAAAUCGAAAUGACAUAUUCUCUGUUUGAGAGUAUUUGAUUCGGGUUCCUUUUCUCUAUGUCUUCUCUUCCUUUUAUAUUCCCUCGAUUAUAUUUUUCGUGGCAAACCGCUUGGAAACUGCUUGAUUGCUGUAUAAUUACCCACUUUCUUUAUGGUGGCUAAUCUAUCGUGGAACUGCCGUCUCUAACUGUUGACAUUACUCUUUGUCGUUCAACCGCCUUCAACUGGGCUCCUUGAUUCGUGAACUGUGAUAAGAUCACUCAAUAACUAUUUCAACAACUGCUAUUCUGGAUAGCUAUAAUGUUUUAUGCUUGCUAAGAUCCUGGGCGAUUCGAAGGUUUGGACGAGAACGAGGUCAUCACUCUGGGCGACUGUAAGGUACUCCAUUCGCUCAGAUUCUGGGCGUCUUGCAAGUUUGGGCGAUGAUAUUACCGUGUUCGUGAGCUUCCAUCGCAUUCCUCAAUAAUCCUGUUUGGACCUUUAUUCUGGACUCCCCAAUUGGACUUCACUCUUUGGGCUAUUUGAUUUGGGCUGCACUUUCAGUGUGUCAACAGUUUCUAACCAACAUGAGACUUUAAACAAUCCUAUUGUAAGUGAAACACUCAAAAUUAUUCAAAUUGGACAAUACCAAGUCAAAAUCAUCCGAUCAUGCCACUUAAGAAUUUAUGUGAACCUUUUGAUUAACUGCCACAGUUCUCAAAAUGACCAAGGGCAGAUGGACACUAAAUUACCUUAAAUCUUAUAGUUAAACGAGGUUUAAAUAUCCAAUUUGACUAAAAAUUCAACAUUUUCACGAAAUAAAUACAAUUUAUGAAAUAAUUUAAGCAAUUUAAAAUAGUGGACGUACUUGAUGCAACCAAGUUUUCUUUUUAAGAAUUAUAGGGAUUUUUCGUAGUUCAGUGUUACAUCCCACUCCUUUAUAGUCAAAGUUAAAGUCAAAGUCAAAGUCAAUAAGAACUUAAGUUGAAUAAAUUAUUCUAUUGGGGCUUAAUUGAUUAUGAAAAAUAUUUUGAGGAUUUAAGUAGUCAAAGUUAAAGUCAAAGUCAAAGUCAAAGUCAAUAAGAACUUAAGUUGAAUAAAUUAUUCUAUUGGGGCUUAAUUGAUUAUGAAAAAUAUUUUGAGGAUUUAAGAUGGAUAAAAUUUAAUUUGAGGAUAUACUUAUAUAGUAUUGAAAGAUAAGGAUUUAAUGUGAUUUUAUAUGAAGGUUGGAGGACUUGUUUUGCAAUUAUGAGUUAGUGCCACUAAAUAUUAAAUAAAUAGCCUUUUUUUUUUCAUUUGGAGAUAGAUACAAAAAUGAAAAAUGGGUAGAGAAGCUGAGAGAAGGAGAGAAGAAUUGAGAAGGAGGUAGAGAAGGAAAGAAGAGAGAGAAAGAAAAGGGGGAAGACAAAAAAAGGGGUGGAAAAAGAAAAUGAAAAAGAUAUUAUUGAAGAAGAUGAUAUAUGGAUUCAAAUACAAGGUUCAUCCUUUCUUCUAUUCUAUUCCAAGAGGUAAGAAAAACUCAUUGUUAUUCAAUAUUGUUAGAUUUGGGUUUGUAAUUAGUGGUUAGCUUCAAAGAUGUGGAGGAAAGAAUAGAUAUUGGAGUUGAAUAUAUGUUAAAGUAAUAUGAAAUGGGUUUGUAAAUUAAAGUCUAAAUCUUUAUAUUUAUAGUGUACAUGAUAUAAAACAAUUGAUUUAUGAGGUAUUACAAUGAGAUAUGGAGUUGAGGUUGGAUUUUGGUAUUUUUUUAAACUAAUUUUCGGGCAAAAUUAAUGCAUAGUGCUAUUUUUGAAAUUCUGGUGAGAAAGUAUCAUUUCUGUCAAUGAUUUUGGUGGCAGAUUUCAAUAUGCAGAAAUUGGUGCCAUUUUUCUAUAUUCCGGAAUUUUAGUGCCAUUUUUGUCAAACCUUGGAUUUCCAAAAUUUUAAAGGUUUGAAUGAACUUAUAUGACAAAUAUUGAAGUCUAUGUGUUGAACUAACUAUUUAUAGGGGUUUUAUAUGUAUUAAGGUAGUGAUUUUAAGGAAGUGUGAGUGGUGUAAUAAAUUUGAUGGUUUAUGGUGAUUAGUUGAUAAAUCAUUAAAGAGAAGAAAAGUUGGGGAAAUGGGGAUGUAAAAAUAAAUAUAGAAAUUGAGAAGUUAAGAGGUGGAUUUGUAUUAAUUUAAUUGUCAUAUUUAAAUUUGAGAAAUUAUACCUCUGUUUCAGGUAAGGACGUGAAAGUUUGGAAAGACUUGUCAAUUUAAUCAGAUUUCUAAUUAUAGAUCAAUGAGUGGAAAAAUAUAAAUAUUUUUAAAAUAUUUAUAAAUUAAGUAUAUUGUUAAAGUAUGUGCAAUAUAUGCAAUUAUGUGUUCGAAUUAUAUGAUUAUUAUGGAAAUAUCUUUUAGUAUGAUAUAUGUGGAAUUUCAAAGAUUGUAUACAAUACAUUGUGAAUUGGAAUAUAAGAUGUGAUUUUGAGAUCGACCAGAAAAGUACUCGUGAUUAUAUAUUUCUUCUAGUUCACCGAGAGGUCUUGGCCGUGUUCUAUACUGCACGGAGGGAUCUUGGACUGGGGAUCAAGGGGUCUCGACUGUGUACAAAUAGUUCACUGAGGAGUCUUGGCCGUAUUCUAGAAUUGAUUAUGAGAGAUCUUGAGACCGACUUUCAUUCGCGGAGGGGGCCAAAGGCCCGUGGCGAAAGUUCUUAGCCCGAUGGACGGAUUAUAGAUUUUAGUCAGAGAAUACAUUUUUGGUGGAUCACAUGUGAUGUGAUUAGAUGAUGGUAUAGAUAUCAGCUGAUGAUUAUAUCGUGGAUAUGAGAUGAUAUUUACAUAGUUAUGAGAAUGUCUCUUUUUUUGCUACUAUCGUGUGAAUUACUAAACAAUAUGAACUUGAUGUUGGAUAAAAAUGUUUAAAUGAGAAAGUAUAAUUAUUUUCGAACUCUUCCACUCACUGAACUAUAAACUCAUAUUUUUCCACGAUUUCUCUUACAAGUAGUAUUGGUCUCUGAUAGCUUGAGGAGCCUGGUGGUUUUAGAAUUAGAGCCACAUGACAUAUUGAGUGAUACGAUUCAUUUUGGUAAAACAUGAAGUAAU